CGAGGAAUAUUGCACAAUGGGCGAAAGCCUGAUGCAGCAACGCCGCGUGAGGGACGAAGGCCUUCGGGUCGUAAACCUCUUUUCUGGGGGACGAGUAAGGACGGUACUCCAGGAAUAAGUCUCGGCUAACUACGUGCCAGCAGCCGCGGUAAAACGUAGGAGGCGAGCGUUAUCCGGAUUUACUGGGCGUAAAGCGUACGCAGGUGGCUUCGUUAGUCGGGCAUGAAAGCUCCUGGCUUAACUGGGAGAGGUGGUUCGAUACUGCGGGGCUUGAGGUUGGGAGAGGGACGUGGAAUUCCCGGUGUAGUGGUGGAAUGCGUAGAUAUCGGGAGGAACACCAGUGGCGCAAGCGGCGUCCUGGCCCACACCUGACGCUGAGGUACGAAAGCGUGGGUAGCAAACAG
rnacentral:rRNA from 1 species